UGUAUCAGUUGUCUUGCGUUGUUGCAACCUCUCUGUUUUCUGGGAAGUUUAAAUGUGUCACCAAGAUGUUGUUUCCGGCUGAGGACAUUUGGUUGUGCCCACUGAACUUCGGUGCACACUGGAUCCUUGUGGUUGUCAAAAUCUCCACACGAUCUGUACUGCUGUUAGACCCUCUUGGAAAUGAAGGUUGUUAUGAAAGGAAAAUUAUGCGUAACUGGAGGAAUUUUCUGAAGAUGAAAGGAAAGGAAGAGUCCCGAGUGGAUUGGAAAAUGGAGACUGCCACACAACAAGCAGAUGGACUCCAGCAGUUGUGGAGUUUUAGUGUUGAAGUUUGCCGAACACUACCUUAUGAGUGGAGAGGUUACUAGGGUGCUGUCCACUCCAGAAGCCAUUGGGCUGCAACGCACAGAAAUUGCUUGCGAACUGCUAGAACAUCAAAGUAAUGCUGAUGACUACUGUGUGGUUUGUUCCAUGCUGGAAGCCGAUCCUGAGUCCAGUAUGAUUGAAAUGGUGCAGUGUGAGUUUUGUCUCAGAUGGGCACAUUUUGGAUGUGCUCAAUAUGAGAGCAGCCUGGUCAAGUACUUGUGCGACAAAUGUGCAUAAUUGUUAUGAAUAC